GUUUAUAACAUCUAUUCUAGUAACAAUUGAAGAAGUUACUAAGCAGAAGAAAAAUUGAAUUUGUGACUACAAUAGAUAGAAAAGAACUAUGUGAUACCUAAGUGAAAAUGAAGACAGUAUUUGGAAGAAGUAAUCUUAGAGACAGAUUCCACCUCCUGAUGUAUUGAUACGAUUACCCGCUGUUAUGUGAGUCAUCCAUUUGCCUCUGAAGGGAUUUUGCUUCUACCAAAC
rnacentral:lncRNA from 1 species